rnacentral:rRNA from 1 species
GUGGGGAAUCUUGCGCAAUGGUCGGAAGACUGACCCAGCCAUGCCGCGUGCAGGAAGACGGCCCUCUGGGUUGUAAACUUCUUUUAUCUGGGACGAAAAAAGGGUAUUCUUACUCAAUUGACGGUACCAGAGGAAUAAGCACCGGCUAACUCCGUGCCAGCAGCCGCGGUAAUACGGAGGGUGCAAGCGUUAUCCGGAGUCACUGGGUUUAAAGGGUGCGUAGGUGGGUAUUUAAGUCAGUGGUGAAAUCUCCGAGCUUAACUCGGAAACUGCCAUUGAUACUAUUUACCUUGAAUGCCCUGGAGGUAAGCGGAAUAUGUCAUGUAGCGGUGAAAUGCUUAGAUAUGACAUAGAACACCAAUUGCGAAGGCAGCUUACUACGGGGUGAUUGACACUGAGGCACGAAAGCGUGGGGAGCAAACAGGAUUAGAAACCCUUGUAGUCC